UACGUAGGAUGCGAGCGUUAUCCGGAUUUAUUGGGUUUAAAGGGUGCGUAGGCGGGCUGUUAAGUCAGCGGUCAAAUGUCGGGGCUCAACCCCGGCCUGCCGUUGAAACUGGCGGCCUCGAGUGGGCGAGAAGUAUGCGGAAUGCGUGGUGUAGCGGUGAAAUGCAUAGAUAUCACGCAGAACUCCGAUUGCGAAGGCAGCAUACCGGCGCCCGACUGACGCUGAGGCACGAAAGCGUGGGUAUCGAACAGG
rnacentral:rRNA from 1 species